rnacentral:rRNA from 1 species
AUUGAACGCUGGCGGCAGGCUUAACACAUGCAAGUCGAGCGGGGAAAGGUAGCUUGCUACCUGACCUAGCGGCGGACGGGUGAGUAAUGCUUAGGAAUCUGCCUAUUAGUGGGGGACAACAUCUCGAAAGGGAUGCUAAUACCGCAUACGUCCUACGGGAGAAAGCAGGGGACCUUCGGGCCUUGCGCUAAUAGAUGAGCCUAAGUCGGAUUAGCUAGUUGGUGGGGUAAAGGCCUACCAAGGCGACGAUCUGUAGCGGGUCUGAGAGGAUGAUCCGCCACACUGGGACGGAGACACGGCCCAGACGCCUACGGGAGGCAGCAGUGGGGAAUAUUGGACAAGGGGGGGAAACCUGAUCCAGCCAGGCCGAGUGUGGGAAGAAGGCCUUUUGGUUGUAAAGGACUUUAAGCGAGGAGGAGGCUACCGAGAUUAAUACUCUUGGAUAGUGGACGUUACUCGCAGAAUAAGCACCGGCUAACUCUGUG